GACGAACGCUGGCGGCGUGCUUAACACAUGCAAGUCGAACGGUGAAGCGCCUUCCUUUUUGGUGGGUGUGGAUGGGUGGCGAACGGGUUAGUAACACGUGAGUAACCUGCCCCCUUCUUCUGGAUAACCGCAUGAAAGUGUGGCUAAUACGGGAUAUUCUGGGUCUGUCGCAUGAUGGGUCUGGGAAAGAUAUUGUUUCGGUGGGGGAUGGGCUCGCGGCCUAUUAGCUUGUUGGUGGGGUGAUGGCCUACCAAGGCGGCGAUGGGUAGCCGGCCUGAGAGGGUGGUCGACCACCAUAGAGGGGCGGCACCGUCCCCACGCCUCCGGGGGGCGGCAGUAGGGGAGAUUAUGGCACAGUGGGAAGACGGAUGAAGCAGCGCCGCGGGAGGGGGGAGGGUGGCCGGAGCGUUAAAAACUUUUUUUACGGGAGAAGAAGGGUGGCAGCGUUUGUGCGUGGGUUGACGGUAGCUAAUUAGGAAGCCCCGGCUAACUACGUG
rnacentral:rRNA from 1 species